AUUGAACGCUGGCGGCAGGCCUAACACAUUCAAGUCGAACGAGCGGCGGACGGGUGAGUAAUGUCUGGGAAACUGCCUGAUGGAGGGGGAUAACUACUGGAAACGGUAGCUAAUACCGCAUACAAUCGGAUGAGCCCAGAUGGGAUGAGCUAGUAGGGGGGGUAAAGGCUCACCUAGGCGACGAUCCCUAGCUGGUCUGAGAGGAUGACCAGCCACACUGGAACUGAGACACGGUCCAGACUCCUACGGGAGGCAGCAGGGGGGAAUAUUGCACAAUGGGCGCAAGCCUGAUGCAGCCAUGCCGCGUGUAUGAAGAAGGCCUUCGGGUUGUAAAGUCCUUUCAGCGGGGAGGCGUUACCCGCAGAAGAAGCACCGGCUAACUCCGUGCCAGCAGCCGCGGUAAUAC
rnacentral:rRNA from 1 species